GCCUGGAUAGCUCAUUUGGUAGAGCAUCAGACUUUUAAUCUGAGGGUCCAGGGUUCACGUUCCCGUUCAGGCA